AAAUUGAAGAGUUUGAUCAUGGCUCAGAUUGAACGCUGGCGGCAGGCCUAACACAUGCAAGUCGAACGGUAACAGGAAGCAGCUUGCUGCUUUGCUGACGAGUGGCGGACGGGUGAGUAAUGUCUGGGAAACUGCCUGAUGGAGGGGGAUAACUACUGGAAACGGUGGCUAAUACCGCAUAACGUCGCAAGACCAAAGAGGGGGACCUUCGGGCCUCUUGCCAUCAGAUGUGCCCAGAUGGGAUUAGCUUGUUGGUGAGGUAACGGCUCACCAAGGCGACGAUCCCUAGCUGGUCUGAGAGGAUGACCAGCCACACUGGAACUGAGACACGGUCCAGACUCCUACGGGAGGCAGCAGUGGGGAAUAUUGCACAAUGGGCGCAAGCCUGAUGCAGCCAUGCCGCGUGUAUGAAGAAGGCCUUCGGGUUGUAAAGUACUUUCAGCGGGGAGGAAGGUGUUGUGGUUAAUAACCGCAGCAAUUGACGUUACCCGCAGAAGAAGCACCGGCUAACUCCGUGCCAGCAGCCGCGGUAAUACGGAGGGUGCAAGCGUUAAUCGGAAUUACUGGGCGUAAAGCGCACGCAGGCGGUCUGUCAAGUCGGAUGUGAAAUCCCCGGGCUCAACCUGGGAACUGCAUUCGAAACUGGCAGGCUUGAGUCUUGUAGAGGGGGGUAGAAUUCCAGGUGUAGCGGUGAAAUGCGUAGAGAUCUGGAGGAAUACCGGUGGCGAAGGCGGCCCCCUGGACAAAGACUGACGCUCAGGUGCGAAAGCGUGGGGAGCAAACAGGAUUAGAUACCCUGGUAGUCCACGCCGUAAACGAUGUCUACUUGGAGGUUGUGCCCUUGAGGCGUGGCUUCCGGAGCUAACGCGUUAAGUAGACCGCCUGGGGAGUACGGCCGCAAGGUUAAAACUCAAAUGAAUUGACGGGGGCCCGCACAAGCGGUGGAGCAUGUGGUUUAAUUCGAUGCAACGCGAAGAACCUUACCUGGUCUUGACAUCCACGGAACUUUCCAGAGAUGGAUUGGUGCCUUCGGGAACCGUGAGACAGGUGCUGCAUGGCUGUCGUCAGCUCGUGUUGUGAAAUGUUGGGUUAAGUCCCGCAACGAGCGCAACCCUUAUCCUUUGUUGCCAGCGGUCCGGCCGGGAACUCAAAGGAGACUGCCAGUGAUAAACUGGAGGAAGGUGGGGAUGACGUCAAGUCAUCAUGGCCCUUACGACCAGGGCUACACACGUGCUACAAUGGCGCAUACAAAGAGAAGCGACCUCGCGAGAGCAAGCGGACCUCAUAAAGUGCGUCGUAGUCCGGAUUGGAGUCUGCAACUCGACUCCAUGAAGUCGGAAUCGCUAGUAAUCGUGGAUCAGAAUGCCACGGUGAAUACGUUCCCGGGCCUUGUACACACCGCCCGUCACACCAUGGGAGUGGGUUGCAAAAGAAGUAGGUAGCUUAACCUUCGGGAGGGCGCUUACCACUUUGUGAUUCAUGACUGGGGUGAAGUCGUAACAAGGUAACCGUAGGGGAACCUGC
rnacentral:rRNA from 1 species